ACAACAAUGAGUAGUUCUACGUCCAUCGACCUGGAUGACAGUUUAGAUACGACGAUGACUGACGGUGGUGAAACUGAUUAUUACUGUGACGAUGACAAUUCUU
rnacentral:ribozyme from 1 species